UACGGGGGGAGCAAGCGUUGUUCGGAUUUACUGGGCGUAAAGGGCGCGUAGGCGGCGUGACAAGUCACUUGUGAAAUCCCCGGGCUUAACCCGGAACGGUCAAGUGAUACUGUCGUGCUAGAGUACAGAAGGGGCAACUGGAAUUCUCGGUGUAGCGGUGAAAUGCGUAGAUAUCGAGAGGAACACCUGCGGCGAAGGCGGGUUGCUGGGCUGAUACUGACGCUGAGGCGCGAAAGCCAGGGGAGCGAACGGG
rnacentral:rRNA from 1 species